UACGUAGGUGACCAGCGUUGUCCGGAUUUACUGGGCGUAAAGAGCGCGCAGGCGGUCGUUCAAGUCGAGUGUGAAAGCCCCCGGCUCAACUGGGGAGGGUCACUCGAUACUGAUCGACUCGAAGGCAGGAGAGGGAAGCGGAAUUCCCGGUGUAGUGGUGAAAUGCGUAGAUAUCGGGAGGAACACCGGUGGCGAAGGCGGCUUCCUGGACUGUCCCUGACGCUGAGGCGCGAAAGCGUGGGUAGCAAACAGG
rnacentral:rRNA from 1 species